rnacentral:rRNA from 1 species
CAGCCGCCACGGUAAUACGAAGGGGGCUAGCGUUGCUCGGAAUUACUGGGCGUAAAGGGCGCGUAGGCGGACAGUUCAGUCGGGGGUGAAAGCCCGGGGCUCAACCUCGGAAUUGCCUUCGAUACUGGCUGUCUUGAGUAUGAGAGAGGUGUGUGGAACUCCGAGUGUAGAGGUGAAAUUCGUAGAUAUUCGGAAGAGCACCAGCGGCGAAGGCGACACACUGGCUCAUUACUGACGCUGAGGCGCGAAAGCGUGGGGAGCAAACAGGAUUAGAUACCCCCGUAGUCCCUGUCUCUUAUAA